GGGGAACUAGGUUUUAGCAAUUGAAAAACAUAAAUGACUUUAAUUAUAUGGAAAGAACGAGGAUUGUUUUCCUAGAAUGCAUCGGAAUGAGUAGAAACAGUAAUUGAGCAAAUGAAUUCCGAUAGAGGCAUAAUUGAUACUUGAAAACUCAAAUAAUAAUCUACAUUACUUCAACUGCGAUAACUUACAGGAGGGAAUUCUUAACAAUGCUUUCUAACAGUUAAUCUUGGUCAGGUUCUCAUCCUUCCAAAUAAAUCUCUUUGGAGUUAAAGCUAUAUUUUGGAAAUUAAUGACUUCUUCCAUGUGAGGCUAUCCUCAGAAGCCGACCAAAUUCUGAUAAAUCUAUAAAGCAAACUACGUUCUUUUCACUGGGAUCUGGAAGAGGAUGACAUUUAUGUAAUGGAUGAGUUUUGUGCCGUCCCCAGGAAAAUAAUCUCGUAUUUUACUAAGCUAUAGUCUGCAGAAAAAUUGCUGCUUUCAUACGCUUAAUAAAGACUCACUGAAACAUCUCACAGAAAUCCCUGAGGAUCAUCUCUGCAGUGAGCCCUGCUGGAAGUCUGAGGAGGGAAUGGUGAUGGGCCUGGGCAGCAGAAGAGCAGCACCAAGCCCUGCUCCUCCAGCUGAUGGCCUGAAGGCAAAUGGACAGGGAAGGAGGGGUUGGAGACCCUUCAAGAAGGAUGUGAGAGGGAUUUAGUGAAGUGACCGCGUGGGACCAGUGGGAACUGGGAAGAGCCUUUGGAGAUCCCCAGCAAGGGCUGGGUUUGGCCGACAGUUCAGGCAGCCAUGAAUUCAUGGUGAUGGAGGAGCCUUUGCUUUCCAAGGAUUAUCGCUGUCUGCCUUACAGCCUUCAAGUCCUGGCCCAGAGAGCCCCAGGGUAGGAGAUGCUGCACAGCACAAGCCAAAAGGUCUGCAUUUACCCCUGAAAUAUUUGCCAUCAAAGCACAGAGAACACGUUGGGCUGGCAGGAGGAUGUGAUUCGUGCCAGGAUGGGAAGUCUGGAGCUGAGAAAAGUCCAAAACCUUUACUGAGAGGACGUCUGACUGAUCUCACAGCAAACCGAGUUGCCCAAUGCUGAGGAUGUGGGUCUGUCAGCUUCCUAUCUAACCAAAGGCUCAACACUGUGAUUCUGGGCUGUGUCGGUGCCAUCAGGUGCAGGUGAGAGGCAGCACAUCCAUCCUGAGACCUAGAAAACAGACUGUGCAUGCCCAGAACCAACCCCAAGCCUUGCAACAGACUCUUGGCCAUUUACCUCCUGGAGCAAUGGGCAUUUUGCCAUUUCUCCCCAGAGCAGCAGCUGUGCCAUGCCUGGGCAGGGCAGGUCACUGCACGAAUGCAAUUUGCACCUGCUUGUCACAGCAGCACCAUGCCCACGUGUGUCAGGAUGGAGCCUGGAAGCGGCACAGCUCUCAGCUCAGCGGUGUCAGAACAAA
ensembl:lncRNA